rnacentral:tRNA from 1 species
GAGUUGGUAUCUCAGUGGUUGAGUGCAUGGUUUCUAUGUAUGAUGUCCUGGGUUCAAACCCCAGCCACUGCC